UUAAGUUCAGCGGGUAGUCCUACCUGAUCCGAGGUCAACGUUCAGAGUUGGGGGUUUCACGGCGGGGCCGCGUCGGGGUUUCCGGUGCGAGCUGUAGUACUUCGCAGAGGUCGCCGCGGACGGGCCGCCACUCCAUUUCAGGGCCGGCGGUGUGCUGCCGGUCCCCAACGCCGACCUCCCCAAGGGGAGGUCGAGGGUUG
rnacentral:misc_RNA from 1 species